AACGAACGCUGGCGGCAUGCCUAACACAUGCCAGUCGAACGAGACCUUCGGGUCUAGUGGCGCACGGGUGCGUAACGCGUGGGAACCUGCCCUUAGGUUCGGAAUAACUCCCCGAAAGGGGUGCUAAUACCGGAUAAUGUCUUCGGACCAAAGAUUUAUCGCCUUUGGAUGGGCCCGCGUUGGAUUAGCUAGUUGGUAGGGUAAAAGCCUACCAAGGCGACGAUCCAUAGCUGGUCUGAGAGGAUGAUCAGCCACACUGGGACUGAGACACGGCCCAGACUCCUACGGGAGGCAGCAGUGGGGAAUAUUGGACAAUGGGCGAAAGCCUGAUCCAGCAAUGCCGCGUGAGUGAUGAAGGCCUUAGGGCUGUAAAGCUCUUUUACCCGGGAUGAUAAUGACAGUACCGGGAGAAUAAGCGCCGACUAACUCCGUG
rnacentral:rRNA from 1 species